AGAGUUUGAUCCUGGCUCAGAUUGAACGCUGGCGGCAUGCCUUACACAUGCAAGUCGAACGGCAGCACGGGGGCAACCCUGGUGGCGAGUGGCGAACGGGUGAGUAAUAUAUCGGAACGUGCCCAGUAGUGGGGGAUAACUAGUCGAAAGAUUAGCUAAUACCGCAUACGCACUACGGUGGAAAGCGGGGGAUCGUAAGACCUCGCGCUAUUGGAGCGGCCGAUAUCUGAUUAGCUAGUUGGUGGGGUAAAAGCCUACCAAGGCGACGAUCAGUAGCUGGUCUGAGAGGACGACCAGCCACACUGGGACUGAGACACGGCCCAGACUCCUACGGGAGGCAGCAGUGGGGAAUUUUGGACAAUGGGGGCAACCCUGAUCCAGCCAUGCCGCGUGUGUGAAGAAGGCCUUCGGGUUGUAAAGCACUUUUGUCAGGAACGAAACGGUCUGCACUAAUACUGCGGACUAAUGACGGUACCUGAAGAAUAAGCACCGGCUAACUACGUGCCAGCAGCCGCGGUAAUACGUAGGGUGCAAGCGUUAAUCGGAAUUACUGGGCGUAAAGCGUGCGCAGGCGGUUGUGUAAGACAGAUGUGAAAUCCCCGGGCUUAACCUGGGAACUGCAUUUGUGACUGCACGGCUAGAGUGUGUCAGA
rnacentral:rRNA from 1 species